ensembl:lncRNA
CUCAGAUUUGUGCAGACUUCACAACGCAGAAUACCAAGUCACGACAGGAGAGAUGGAGAGAGACUGGGAGCAUGAGAGAAGCUGCAAGUCUAAAACGAAUGGGAGGACACCAGGAUAGUAAGGUUGACGGGGGUGGGCAUCUAUUACGUCAAAGGAAAGGGAGGACGUGCUGCACAGGUGUCACCUCUCUGGUCAGUCUCACCGGAGGAAAAGAAAGAGAGAGCAGGGACCUUCAGAGGCUCUGCUGCUCUCUCCCUCCCACUGCUGAGACUAAUGCCAUGUUCAAAAUAACUCAGAACUCGGACAUCUCCGACUUACGACUUCAUCUCCCACUCCCUGCCACUGAAAAACAUCCCCACAGCAUGAUGCUGCCACCACCAUGCUUCACCGCAGGGAUGGUAUUGGUCUGGUGAUGAGCGGUGCCUGGUUUCCUUCAGACGUGAUGCUUGGCAUUCAGACCAAAGAGAUCAAUCUUGGUUUCAUCAGACCAGAGAAUCUUGUUUCUCAUGGUCUGAGAGUCCUUUAGGUGCCAUUUGGCAAAGUCCAAGCGGGCUGUCAUGUGCCUGUUACUGAAGAGUGGCUUCCAUCUGGCCACUCUACCAUAAAGGCCUGAUUGGUGGAGUGCUGCAGAGAUGGUUGUCCUUCUGGAAGUUUCUCCCAUCUCCCCAGAGGAACUCUGGCGCUCUGUCAUAGUGGCCAUCGGGUUCUUGGGCACCUCCCUGACCAAGGCCCUUCUCCCCCAAUUGCUGAGUUUGGCCGGGCGGCCAUCUCUAGGGAGAGUUUUGGUGGUUCCAAACUUCUUGCAUUUAAGAAAGAUGAAGGCUACUGUUUUCUUGGGGACUUUCAAUGCUGCAAAAAUGUUUUGGUAAUGUUCCUCAGAUCUGUGCCUCGACACAAUCCUGUCUUGGUGCUCUACGGACAAUUCCUUCAACCUAAUGUCUUGGUUUUUGCUAUGAAAUGCACUGUCAAUUGUGGGACCUUAUAUAGAUGUGUGUGCCUUUCCAAAUCAUGUCCAAUCAUUUGAAUUUACCACAGGUGGACUCCAAUCAAGUUGUAGAAACAUCUCAAGGAUAAUCAAUGGAAACAGGAUGCACCUGAGCUCAAUUUCGAGUCUCUUAGCAAAGGGUCUGGAUACCUAUGAAAAGACUGUAUUUUCUGCUUGAAAUUUGUAAUAGAUUUGC